ACACACACACACACACACACACACACACACACACACCGUAGAAGGUGUGUGUGUGAUUCUCAUCAUGUGGCUGUUUACCAGAAGACACAUUUAGUUUCUAAAGAAGCUGGAGGCAGCAAAAAACCACCGCUGGCUAAAUUGUU